rnacentral:rRNA from 1 species
AGCUGGAGCUUGCUCCGGUGGAUUAGUGGCGAACGGGUGAGUAACACGUGAGUAACCUGCCCUUGACUCUGGGAUAACUGCGGGAAACUGUAGCUAAUACCGGAUACGACACCUUCGGGCAUCCGAUGGGUGAGGAAAGAAUUUCGGUCAAGGAUGGACUCGCGGCCUAUCAGCUUGUUGGUGACGUAACGGCUCACCAAGGCGACGACGGGUAGCCGGCCUGAGAGGGUGACCGGCCACACUGGGACUGAGACACGGCCCAGACUCCUACGGGAGGCAGCAGUAGGGAAUAUUGCACAAUGGGCGCAAGCCUGAUGCAGCAACGCCGCGUGAGGGAUGAAGGCCUUCGGGUUGUAAACCUCUUUUAGUAGGGAAGAAGCGAAAGUGACGGUACCUACAGAAAAAGCACCGGCUAACUACGUGCCAGCAGCCGCGGUAAUACGUAGGGUGCAAGCGUUGUCCGGAAUUAUUGGGCGUAAAGAGCUCGUAGGCGGUUUGUCGCGUCUGCUGUGAAAAUCCGAAGCUCAACUUCGGACCUGCAGUGGGUACGGGCAGACUAGAGUGCGGUAGGGGAGAAGGGAAUUCCUGGUGUAGCGGUGGAAUGCGCAGAUAUCAGGAGGAACACCGAUGGCGAAGGCACUUCUCUGGGCCGUAACUGACGCUGAGGAGCGAAAGCGUGGGGAGCGAACAGGAUUAGAUACCCUGGUAGUCCACGCCGUAAACGGUGGGUGCUAGUUGUGGGUCACAUUCCACGUGAUCUGCGACGCAGCUAACGCAUUAAGCACCCCGCCUGGGGAGUACGGUCGCAAGACUAAAAAUCUAAUGAA